ACUGUAAAUUGUUAUUGAUGAAAUGUAAACAGAAUAUUGAAAUAGAUAUUUGGUUUACAUCUUAAAAACGUUUGAAUGACUAUCAGCUGUUAUUUUUGUUCAAAGGUAGUAUUCCCCUGCAAAGCAUAAGAGCUAGGUUUAUUACAUUCUCCUCUCCUGCAGUCUGCCAAACUGUGGGCUGAAGACCUAGCUUGCCUCAACCUGCAGGAAGCUAGAAGACUACCUGGCCAUACAAGGGGGCCAGGCACCUCUGUUCCGGCCACAUGUGGAGAGAGUGGAACAGGCACUGGCACUGGCUGAUUGUUCAGCAAAUCCAUUUCUGUUUCUUUUGGAGACACAUCAAGACUCUAUCUCCUAUGAGGUAUGGUCAUGCAGCUCAAUUCUGGCUUCCACUUCAAAGCCUGGCCCAUAGGAAGCACCUAUGCAACUCUCUAGUUAUUCUCUCUCCAUCUGCUGGCAGAAUGAAGACAGAGACCCUGGAGGAAGACAGGAGGAGCCACAGGGUAAGAGGAGCUUGGGCCCUGCAUGCCCCUCCCUCCUAUUCACCCCCUCCUCCCCUCCCUCCACCCCCCCCCCCCCCCCCGCCACACAUGGACUGAGUACUGAAAUAAAUGCUUCCUAUUCAUCA
rnacentral:lncRNA from 12 species